rnacentral:rRNA from 1 species
AACGCUGGCGGCGUGCCUAAUACAUGCAAGUCGAGCGGACAGAUGGGAGCUUGCUCCCUGAUGUUAGCGGCGGACGGGUGAGUAACACGUGGGUAACCUGCCUGUAAGACUGGGAUAACUCCGGGAAACCGGGGCUAAUACCGGAUGGUUGUUUGAACCGCAUGGUUCAGACAUAAAAGGUGGCUUCGGCUACCACUUACAGAUGGACCCGCGGCGCAUUAGCUAGUUGGUGAGGUAACGGCUCACCAAGGCRACGAUGCGUAGCCGACCUGAGAGGGUGAUCGGCCACACUGGGACUGAGACACGGCCCAGACUCCUACGGGAGGCAGCAGUAGGGAAUCUUCCGCAAUGGACGAAAGUCUGACGGAGCAACGCCGCGUGAGUGAUGAAGGUUUUCGGAUCGUAAAGCUCUGUUGUUAGGGAAGAACAAGUGCCGUUCAAAUAGGGCGGCACCUUGACGGUACCUAACCAGAAAGCCACGGCUAACUAC